rnacentral:lncRNA from 1 species
UUUGUUGUAUCACGAACAGAAAUGACUGUGUUUAUUUCAAGGUCUUGGUUUCAGAUACAAAGUCAUCAAGUGGCAGCACUGUGAUUAAAUUGUCAUGAAGUAGGAAGAUUCUCUAAAAAAAUGGUGUCAGCAUGGCUUGUUCUAGCAAGUUAGAAGCAAGCAAGAUGAGCUAGCUGUUCAAGACUAAAAACAAAACGUGCUGAGAGGUCCUCCGGCAUCGCAGGACAUUAAGGCUAUGAUAGGGCUCCUGGAGCUCUGUGUUGCAGAGAUUCAAGGGGGCUUCUGGGCGGAACAGCGUUUUCAUCCACCGCUUCGAUGGAGGCAGAGCUCCUACGUUUAGGACUUCGGGUUGGAUGUGGUUCUGAGAGAAAGUGCCUUCAGACAGAGCCCUCAGAGGGGUAGUGAUCUGACAGAAAAAUACAUGCUAGAUCACUCCUCUUGAGGACAUCCUUGAGGCUACACAAAAACCCUCAACCGCUCUUACGGCCUCUCUCUUAAGGGUCACGCUCUGUUCUUUCUGAGUGUGGGCUUCUACAGUUCUGCCUAAUAAAUCUCUUUAUGCUUCU